UCGGGCCUACGGGACGCAGCAGUAGGGAAUUUUCGUCAAUGGGCGCAAGCCUGAACGAGCGAUGCCGCGUGAGUGAAGAAGGCCUUCGGGUCGUAAAGCUCUGUUGCGGGGGGAAAAAGGCAGCAUCAGGAAAUGGGUGCUGACUGCUAGUGCCCCGCCAGAAAGUCACGGCUAACUACGUGCCAGCAGCCGCGGUAAUACGUAGGUGGCGAGCGUUAUCCCGAAUGAUUGGGCGUUAAGGGUGCGCAGGCGGGCC
rnacentral:rRNA from 1 species